GUGUCUCCCAUAGACCAGACCUGAUGUGAGGCAUGGGGGUGCCCUGGAGGGCAGGGCAGGCCAGGAAACGGGGAUCCUGCCACAGUCAACGGUCCAUAGCUAGCACCAUGCAGCUCUGCUCACUGACCGGCCCACUCCUCCUCCUCCACCUGCCCCAGACACCCUGAUGGCCAAGGCCUGGGACGGCCACGCUCUUCCUGUAAACUGCUCCGGCCUCAGUUUCCCCGGGGCCAGCGGGGUGUUUGCCGGCUGAUUGCGGGGGUGUUUUGCAGGCUUAGCUCCAGGGGAGCAGGAACAUGGUCAGAGGGGGCGUGCAGCCGGAGUGUGCAGAACGAGUGAAGGAACCAAGUGCAUUCAUUCCACCCCUUCCGAGGGGUUCCGCCUCUGGACGUCGCAGCGGCUGCCCGCGUUGUCAUCCAGGCCGAGGAGUGACGGAGGGAAUGGAUGAAUGAAGGAAUGUUGGUGCCCCCUCAAGUAAAACACAGCCUGUGCUCCCAAAGUCACACUUUCUCUUCUGCUUGGACCGUGGCUCUGAGCUUCACUCGCAAUACCUCUUCCAGGAAGUCUACCUGGAUCUCCACUUCUACCAGAUCAGACACCCGAGCUGGAACGGAGCUCCACCUGGCCAGGCCUUUGGGUGGCCGCCGGCCCACGCAGCAGACCAGACUCCUGAGCCCCCCAGCGCUGGGAGCCCCAGCCCCACCAUUUGGGGCAAUGCAGCUACACAGCAAUCACUCGCCCAUCCCAGACUGAGAGAGGUGUGGCCCGUAAGGCAGUCCAGGGUAGAACCACCUCCUCCAGGAAGUCCCCCCACCCCCGGCUUCCCCAGGCUGGUGAGAUGCUUUCAGAAUGUCUGGCCUCACCCAACCGCAUCUCACAGGUCGACUACCAGCAGUCCCAGGUGUCUCUGUGACCUCCCAGGCCUCGCCUCUGCCCCAAACCCAGACACCUGACAUCCCCUCCUGGCAGGGUCCUUCACGCUGCCACCAAGACAAAGCAGUAAGGAUCCAAUCACACCACCUGCAACUUGUGCCUGGCCCCAGGCUAGACUGCUGCAGCAUACUGUGACUUGUGCCUGGCCCCAGGCUAGACCACACAUCACCUCCAACUAAUGCCUGGCCCCAGGCUGGACUGCUGCAGCAUACUGUGACUUGUGCCUGGCCCCAGGCUAGACCACAUGCCACCUGAGACUUGUGCCUGGCCCCAGACUAGACCACACAUCACCUCCAACUAAUGCCUGGCCCCAGGCUAGACCACAUGCCACCUGGGACUUGUGCCUGCCCCCAGGCUAGACCACACACCACCUCCAACUAAUGCCUGGCCCCAGGCUAGACCACACACCACCUCUGACUAAUGCCUGGCCCCAGGCUAGACUGCUGUAGCAGUGAUUUGAUAUUUAAAAUGGAUCCUGUCCUUGUCUGA